rnacentral:rRNA from 1 species
GGGCUCGCGGCCUAUCAGCUUGUUGGUGGGGUGAUGGCCUACCAAGGCGACGACGGGUAGCCGGCCUGAGAGGGUGUCCGGCCACACUGGGACUGAGAUACGGCCCAGACUCCUACGGGAGGCAGCAGUGGGGAAUAUUGCACAAUGGGCGCAAGCCUGAUGCAGCGACGCCGCGUGAGGGAUGACGGCCUUCGGGUUGUAAACCUCUUUCACCAGGGACGAAGCGCAAGUGACGGUACCUGGAGAAGAAGCACCGGCCAACUACGUGCCAGCAGCCGCGGUAAUACGUAGGGUGCGAGCGUUGUCCGGAAUUACUGGGCGUAAAGAGCUCGUAGGUGGUUUGUCGCGUUGUUCGUGAAAACUCACAGCUCAACUGUGGGCGUGCGGGCGAUACGGGCAGACUGGAGUACUGCAGGGGAGACUGGAAUUCCUGGUGUAGCGGUGGAUUGCGCAGAUAUCAGGAGGAACACCGGUGGCGAAGGCGGGUCUCUG